AUGGGGGUGGGGCACCGGCGUCUGGGAGAUUGGCUGCUGGCGCCGUGGCUUGCCGGCGUGGGGGACUGGGGGCGACCGCUGGCGGGUGGCCGGACCUGGGAUUGGUCGGCUCCUUCCUCCUCCGCUCAGGUUCAUCCACAGAUCCACUUAUGCCUCGGCUAUGGCUGUCCGCUACAGCAUCAGGCUCCGUCAACGUCGCGCAGUGCCUCGCCUCCUCUGUUGUUGCUUGAAUUUGAGCAACACGGACAACAUCCUUCGAUGCCUCAACAACAAGGCCAUGAAACUCAAACAAAUGAAGUCCAAUUCCGAGGGAUUGAAUUCUUGCAGCGAGACCCAGCACUACGUCCACAGAUUCGCCCCUCCAAAGAUUUCUUUCAAGCUCCGCCACUGGCCUUGAGAUCCGACACCUAG
rnacentral:rRNA from 1 species